AAAUAGUCUGUGAAGAAAAUAGAGAGUGAGCGAUGUUGUAGUGAGGUGGAAAUAUCAAAAGAAGGUUAUUUCUUUUUGAGUGUUGUAGUGGUCUUUGGAGUAUUUUCCUCGGACCUACAAAGUGUAAAAUUCCUUACUAUAGUGAUAUCAGUUGCUCCUCUCGGGGUCGUGGUUUUUUCCCUUAUUCAUAAGGGUUUUCCACGUAAAAAUCUUGACGUUAUUGUUACUCUUUUAUUCUUGUUAAUUAGCGUAUCUCGGUGCUACAUUAUUAUUCCGCUUUUAUUACCGUAAAUAUUAUUUUGGUAGGGGGUUUAUUCCCAACAACUGGUAUCAGAGCACAGAUUCUGCAAAGAAGGUUAUUUCUUUUUGAGUGUUGUAGUGGUCUUUGGAGUAUUUUCCUCGGACCUACAAAGUGUAAAAUUCCUUACUAUAGUGAUAUCAGUUGCUGUUCUCAGGGCCGUGGUUUUUUCCCUUAUUCAGAAGGGUUUUCCAUGUAAAAAAUCUUGGUGUCGUUAUUACUCUUUUAUUCUUGUUAAUUACCGUAUCUCGGUGCUAUAUUAUUAUUCC
rnacentral:lncRNA from 1 species